GAGACAGCAGCAGCCACGGUAAUACGGAGGGUGCAAGCGUUAUCCGGAUUUAUUGGGUUUAAAGGGUCCGUAGGCGGACUUAUAAGUCAGUGGUGAAAGCCUGUCGCUUAACGAUAGAACUGCCAUUGAUACUGUAAGUCUUGAGUAUAUUUGAGGUAGCUGGAAUAAGUAGUGUAGCGGUGAAAUGCAUAGAUAUUACUUAGAACACCAAUUGCGAAGGCAGGUUACCAAGAUAUAACUGACGCUGAGGGACGAAAGCGUGGGUAGCGAACAGGAUUAGAGACCCCUGUAGUCCCUGUCUCUUAUAC
rnacentral:rRNA from 1 species